UGAGGGAUAUUGGGCAAUGGGCGCAAGCCUGACCCAGCGACGCCGCGUGGAGGACGAAGGGCUUCGGCUCGUAAACUCCUUUUCCCGUGGACGAGACAAGGACGGUACACGGGGAAUAAGUCUCGGCUAACUACGUGCCAGCAGCCGCGGUAAAACGUAGGAGGCAAGCGUUAUCCGGAAUCACUGGGCGUAAAGGGCGUCUAGGCGGCACGAUAAGCGAGGUGUGAAAGCUCCUGGCUCAACUAGGAGAGUGCGCUUCGAACUGUCGAGCUACGAGGGCAGGCGAAGGGGGUGGAAUUCCCGGUGGAGUGGUGGAAUGCGUAGAGAUCGGGAGGAACACCCGUGGCGAAAGCGGCCCCCUAGCCUGAACCUGACGCUGAAGCGCGAAAGCGUGGGGAGCAAACGGG
rnacentral:rRNA from 1 species